UGCGUAGGCGGUUUAGUAAGUCAGAUGUGAAAGCCCCGGGCUUAACCUGGGAACUGCAUUUGAUACUGCUGAACUAGAGUAUGGUAGAGGGAAGUGGAAUUUCGGGUGUAGCGGUGAAAUGCGUAGAUAUCCGAAGGAACACCAGUGGCGAAGGCGACUUCCUGGACCAAUACUGACGCUGAGGUACGAAAGCGUGGUAGCAAACA
rnacentral:rRNA from 1 species